UCACAGCAGCCGCGGACGCUGCGCGCCGGAGCGGUCCAUCUCGCCAGCCAGCCAACCAGCCGAGCCGCCCAGCCGACCCGAGAGCCCCGAGAGCCAGACUCCCUCAGCCAUAGAAGACACCGGGCGGGAGAGACGGACUGAAAAAAUAUAUCUUUUUUUAUUUUGUCUGGGCCUGGAGACCCGCAGCAGGAGCGGAGGUGAGUGCGGGGCCGGGAGCCGGAGCAGGACCGGGAACAGGAACAGGAACAGGAACAGGAACAGGAGUGGGGCCGGGAGCAGGAGCAGGAGCGGGAGCCGAAGUGGGGGCAGGAGCGGCGGCGGCCGCAGCAGCAACAGGGUCGCCCCAGUCCGCGGCGAGGAAGAGGGAGCUCAGUCGUCGUCCUGGGUGAGGUCGAUGAAGAUGGUAGCGGAGCGGGGGGAUCCCGACGAGCUAGACGCCGGAGGCCCGCCCCGGGGGGCGGCGGUCUCGGGGGCAGAGGCAGAGGGCGACGGGCGCCGCAUCGAGGAGGAGGGUGAAGACGAGGGGGAGGAGCGAGCCGAAGCGGCGGUGUUCGCCGACCCCGGGCCGGCCCCGGCCCCCGAGGCACCAUGCUGCGCAGAGGACCCCUCGCCGGACGAUGGCGCCUCCGGAGUCUCGCCCUGGGCCUGUCCGCCCGUCCGGCCGCGUCGCAGGCACCGGGUCCGUCUCUGCUCGCGCCUCAGCACGGCCGCCCGUCGGGCCCUGCGCGGGGAGCGCCUGGGCGCCGGCCUCUGGUCGUCCGCGGACUCGGAGGCCUCCGUCAGAUCCUCCGUGUGCACCCCGCUGCUCGAGGCGCCCGAGUCUUCCUCGUCGGGGGAAGACACCUCAGAGUCAGAGUGUGCCUCGGACUCGGACGUGUCGAUAUAGUUCACACCCUGGUGGCUCAUCGGGGCUCGCCUCUGCAUCCGCCGCAUCCACUGCGCCGAUAUGUCAAACAGCGUAUCGACGAGGGCGUGGGUGUUUGCCCCAAACAUGGGGAGCAUGGCCUCGGUCACGCGCUGGCGGUUCAUCCCGUGCUCCUGGAUAAUCUCGACGAUGUUGUCCACUACGGCCUCGCGGAUGGGGUCGCUCUCGAUGACCGUCGAGACCUGCCCAUAAAGCCAGUUGAAGACGGGGACUCUGGGGCGGGCGCGAGACCCAGACCCGGAGCCCUGCCCUUCGGCCUCCUCGUGGCGCACCUCCUCGGUAUAGUCUUCACCCCAGAUGACCGCGAAGCCCCCCCCUACCGGCUCAUCCUCUUCCCCGUCGACAUCCGUCGCCCCCUCCACGGGCGUCUCCACAAACGAAGCGUCGCUGUCCACGUGGUGGAGGAUGGAGGUGACGCGGGCAUUGCACAGCGGGCAGGCGGUGCUCGUCAGGGUCCAGCGCUGGAUGCAGUCCAGACAGAACUUGUGCAUGCACGGCAGCGUCUGCGCCUCGGUGGCCGCGACGUCCAGGCAGAUGGGGCAGUCCAUGACGGACCACCAUCGUCCAACUCCCGCCCGGGACCACCGGGACCCUCGGGACCAUCUACCUCCCACCAGGACCCGCCGGGACCACCAACACCGUCCACCUCCCACCACCACCACCACCACCAUCAAGGACCCCCAACAUCCCCAAGACCCUCUACUUCUUCCCACCAAGACCCUCCAGGAGGAGGACCCCCAUCUGCUAAGACCCACCAGGGACCCCCCAUCUGCUAAGACCCACCACCACCAAGACCCUCCAGGAGGAGGACCCCCAUCCACUUCUUCCCAUCACCACCACCAAGACCCUCCAGGAGGAGGACCCCCGUCACCCCCACCAAGACCCUCCACCUCUUCUUCUUCCUCCCACCAGGGACCCCCAUCCACAAGACCACCUCCACCCCAGAGACCACCGCCAAGAUGGCCGCCUCCAUCUCCCCAAAAAAUCUCAGAGACUCGAGCUGGUUCAGAAAAUACAGCACAAACUUUAUUUUCUCACUCUGAAAACAAACUCUUUUCUCACCCGAUGGGAGAAGGAGGAGAAGGGGACCGGGGGACCGCGGGAGGAGGAGAAGGGGACCGGGACGAUCCUCCGCCGCCGAGCCCUCCGCCGCGGCCGCCGCCGCCGCUUCCACCACCGCCGCCACCUCCGCCGCCGCCGCAGCCACCUCCGGCCGGGGGAUCCGCGCGGAGGAGAAGGAGAGGAGGAGGGCCACCGGGCCGGGGAGGCAGGCGCCGGGGAGGCAAGCGCCGCCGGGCCGAGGGGACCGAGGCCGCCGCCGCGGACGCAGAGGAGGAGGAGGACGGGGACGGGGACGAGGACGAGGACGAGGACCGGGCCGAGGGCGAGGGGAGAGAAGACGGAGGAGAAGGGCCUCGAGGAGCCGGUGGAGGGGCCGGAGAGUCAGAGUCAGAGUCCGGCCGGGCCGAGGGGGCGCCCCGCUCAGCGGAGCAGCAGGUAGGGGUUGCCGGCGUCCUCGGCCUCCUCGUCGUCCGAGAUGGCCUCCACCUUGAUGGGCCCGAGCGGGCCGCGGGGCCGGCCGUCGCCGCCGCGGACGCCGACGAUCUCCACAGAGUCCCCGUCCUCGCCGGGGCCGGCCCCGGCGCCCGAGGCCCCCGCGGGCCGGUGGGUCUCCACGGCGCCCCCGGCGGCGGCGCGGACGCUGGUCUCGAAGGGGGCAAAGUCCCAGAGCACGGCCGGCGGGGCGCCCGCGGCGGCGACGGCGCCCGGGGUCAGCACCAGCGGGGCGGCCUCGGCGUCGGGCUCCAGCAGCGCCGCGGCGCAGAAGGCGCGCAACUCGGCCGGCAGGCCCUCGGGGCCGCGGAGCUCGGCGAGGCCCCGGCGGCCGCAGGAGACGAAGACGGGCCGCAGCGGGGCGCCGAGCCCCCAGCGGUUGGCCGCGCGGUGCCCGAAGGCGGCGCCCGCGUCAAAGUCCGGGUCCCCGAGCCCGAGCGCGGAGCGCUGGCGGGCCAUGUCCUUGCAGCCGUCCACGGUGGGGAGCACGCGCUGGCGGUAGGCGCGCGGCGGCAGCGGGACCGGGGUCCGGGGCCCGGCGCGGGUGCUCACCGUGUAGCGCACGUUGUCCUGGCGGCAGAGGCGCAGCGGCUCGGCCCCGGGGUGCAGGCGGGCGAAGGAGGCCUCCACGCGGGCGAAGCAGGCCGGGCCCACGAUGGAGCUAGAGUCCAGCACGGCCGCGCGGAGCUCGCGGCACCCGGGCCAGCGCACGGCGCACUGGGCGGCCGGGUCCAGGCGGACGCGGACGUAGACGUGGUAGUCCCCCACGGCCGGGCCGUCCGCGGGCCAGUCCUCGAUGGUGUCCAGCACGAUGAGCCGGCGCCGCGCCGCGCCGAGCCGCGAGCAGAGGUACUCCACGGCGCCGGCGAAGCCGAGGUCCCGCGCCGAGAGCAGCAGCACCCCCUGGGCGUUGAGGCGGCCGAUGUCGGGGCGCCCGGUCCAGUUCCCGGCCCAGGCGUGCGAGUCCGGCGUGCAGAGGCGGUGGGCGAAGGCGGCGAGCAGCGCCGAGAGGCCGCCGCGGCGCGGGUCCCAGGCCGGGCGCGGGGCGCCCUCGGCGGGCUCGGCGCAGAGCUCCUCGUGGGGCAGCGGGUCGUAGAGCACCACCACGCGCACGUCCUCGGGGUCGGCUAUCUGCCGCAUCCAGGCGGCGCGGCGGCGGAGCGGGGCGCCGCGGCGCGCGGCGAUGUGCGCCAGGGCGGCCGGGUCGAAGGUGAGCGCCGGGCGCCAGAGUUCGGGGAAGACCUCCUGGUCCACGAGGGCGCGGGCCACCUCGGGCGGGCAGUAGGCGGCGAGGGCCGCCUCGGAGGGCCGCGGCGUGUGGGUCUCGCCGGCCGGGACGCGGCGGAAGCCGCCGUCGGGCGCGGGGUGCUCGGGCAUGGGCCCGAGCGGGCGCCGGAGCCGGUCGUCCUCGGAGGAGGAGGAGGAGGAGGACAGCAGCGCGGGAGCGGGGUCCGGAGCGGGCCCGAGUCCGAGGGAGCGGCGCUUGCGCCGGGGCCCCCGGUCCUCUUCGUCGUCGCGGUGGCCGUGGCCGUCCCCGCGGAGGGCCGCGCCGGAGAGCCCCUCGUCCUCCUCGCCGUCCCCGGGGCGGCGGGCCCCGGGCGCGCGGCGCUUCUUCUUGCGCCGCUCGGGCGCUGGGUCCGGGCCGGCGGCGGGGGAGCUGGCGUAGCCGGAGGAGCCGGAGAGGCCGGACUUGGUGCUGGAGCUGGACUUGGUGCUGGAGCUGGACUUGGUGCUGGCGGGGCUGGAGGGCCCGGAGCCGGGGAGGCCGGAGGGGGCGCCCGCCGCCGCCGGCGCCGGCGCUGGGACGACGAGGCCGGGCUGCUCGGGCCAGAGCGGGGGCAGGCCGGGCGCGGGCUCCGCGGGCCCGGGCCGCGCGGCGGCCUCGGCGAGCCGGGCCGCGGCCACGUUGGCCGGGGCGAAGAGGGCCGCGGCGUAGGUCCAGGCGGCCUCGCGGGCGCGGGCCCCGUCCACGCUGUAGCGCACCAGCGGCGCCACGGUGCGGGCGACGAGGGCGACAGAGUCCGCGGCCUGCCGCCGCUCGGCCGGGCCGGCCCCGGGGAUCGCGUCGCGGAGCGCGAGCAGCGCGGCCGUCACCUCCUCGAGGCAGGCGGGCCCGAGGGCGGCCGGGGCGCGGGCGGGCGCGGGCAGCCGGAGCGGGCAGGGCAGCAGGCGCUCGAGGACGCCGCGGCAGGCCAGGACGCAGGCGUCCGCCAGCUCGCGGGGCACGCGGCCGGGCUGCGCGGCGGCGAAGGCGGCGCGGACGCGGGCGCAGAGGGCCUCGACGGUCGCCUCCCCGGCGCGGGGGUCCGCGGCGCGGCCCGGGUAGGCCAUGUCGGCGUAGGCCCGGCGGAGGCUCUGCAGGAUGAAGGUCUUCUGGGUGCGAUCGUAGCGGCGGCUCAUGGCCACGGCGCUCACCGCGUGCGGCAGGGCCCAGAGCGGGUCCUGGGCGGCCAUGGCGUCCCCGAUGUGCGGCAGCGGCGGGGUCACGCUGCCGGUGAUGAAGGAGCCGUGGCCGUGGGGCGCGUGGACCCGGCGCUGGCAGAACUGGUUGAAGCGCUGGUCGGGGGCCUGCAUCCGCGGGUUCUGCAGCCAGGACAUGGCCUCGCCGGCGGCCCCGCUGUAGAUGAGGCGCACGAGGGCCUCGUGCUGCUUCCUCGAGUCCCCCAUCUCCGGGAUGAAGACGGGCACGGGCCCGGCCGCGGCGCGGUAGCGGGCCGCGGCCUGGCGGACGUCGUCCUCGUCCCAGAGCCCCUCGCGGGAGUCCCCGGCGCCGCCGUAGCGGACGCGGCCGUCGGCCGGAGGGUCGGAGCCGGGCCAGGGCUCCCCGAGCGGGGUGAGCAGCGGCCCGUCGGUCGGCGGGGGCCCGUCGGCCAUGAGCGAGAGGUGGUUGUUGGUGGAGCGGCGCUUCCUGCGCGGGGGCCGGGCGGGCUCCGGGGCCGGGGCCGGGGAGGCCGCGGCGGAGGAGGAGGCGGAGGAGGCCGAGGGCCGCGGGGCCGCGGCGGGCGCCGGCGGAGACGGUGGCGGCCCGGCGCGGGCGAGUGGGGCGCCGGGCCGGACUCCUUCGUCUUCUUCUCCCUCGGAGGAGGACGAGGACGAGGAGGACGAGGAGGACGAGGAGGACGAGGACGAGGAGGAGGCCGAGCGCCGCGCGGCGGCGGCGGGGGCCCGGGGGGCGGAGGGCGAGCGGGCCGGGGAGAGGUCCGAGUCGCUGCCGCUGCUGCUGGAGCUGCUGAAGCCGCGGCCGCGGCGGAGGGCGCCCUCUCCGGCGCGGCGCCGGCGGGGCUGUCUCUGCGGGGGCGCCCCGCCGUCCCCGGCGAGGCCGAGUCCGUCCUCGUCCUUCUCGGGGCCGCGGGCGACGGUCUCGACGGCGACGGUGGUGGUGGAGUUGGAGUUGGAGUUGGGGUUGGAGGAGACGGGGCUCCGGGCGCCAAGCGGCCGAGGAUCGAGCCGCCUCGCGGCGGCGGGCUCGUCGAGCAGGGGCUCGCGGUGCUGGUGAUGGUGACGACCGCGGUCCCCUCCGGCGGAGGGGGCGCCGCCGCCGCCGGGCGCCGAGACCGGCCCGGCGGCGGGGGAGGCUGGGGAAGCGGGCCCCCGCCGUGCCGGCGCUGCGGCCACCGCUGCUGGCUGUGCUGGUGGCGCCGGGGUCCGAGGCCGCGCCGCCGGCCCGGGCUCACCGACCGGGUCCCCCCUCGCGGGGGACCAUCUCCGCGGGGCUGCCGAGGGGCCGGGAGAGCCGGAGGAGGAGGCCGGGGAGGCUGCGGAGGGGGACGAGCGCCCGGGGCCGCCGGGGGCCCCGGCCUCUGCCGCUGCGAGUGCUGCCGGGGUCGGCGGCCGGGGCCCGGAGCCGGCCCGGGACCGGGGCCCGAGGACGAGGUGACCGUGCUCGGAGCCCUGAUGGAGAGCCCGACCGGGGGACCCGGCGGCCGGGGACCCGGGCUCGUCCUCCUCCUCGUCUUCGUCGUCUAGCACCACGAUCUCGCCCGAGCCCCGGCGGGGCUGCUGCUGCUGCUGGGCCGAAGGAGGACGGGGCGGCCUCGUGGCUCCGGCCGCGGCCGCGAGGACGGCGGCCUCGGCCUCGGCGGCGUCGUCGGAGAAGAGGCCGCCCGGGCCGAAGAGGAGAUCCUCGCCGGAGGAGCCGCGGCGCCGGGAGCCCUGGCUGCCGCCGUCGGGGCCGGACGCGAUGCCCUCUUCCUCGGCCGCGGCGGCGGCCGCCAGGAGCUGGCUGAAGUUGCCCUCGGUCUCGAUGAAGUCAAAGAGAUCGUCGGCCAUGGUCUCGAUCGGGGUCUUUCUGCCUGAGCGAGGCCGGGCGCCGAGCGCGGAGAGCGGGCGGCGGAGAAGAAGGAGGAAGGCGGCCGGAGGAGGAGAAGAAGAAGACUCUUCUCUGGCGGGCCGAGAGCCUCGGUGGGUCGGGCGUCCGUCGAGGGCUGAUAGCCGCCGGAGAGCCGGAGUCUUCAGAGUCCGCGCCGGAGCGGAGACGGUCGGAUCCCCUCGGGUUGGCAGAGAACGAUGCUGUCCGUACCUGCACCGCAGUGAAGUGCUACGAUGGAGACCGCGCUUAUAAGCGCCCCGAGGAGAGCCCGCCCCCAGGUAAGCGGACCAAUGGCCGAUUUUCGCCGCGGACUUCCCCGACGGCCGGCCAAUGGGAUUUUUCUCGCCCGCUUCCUCUGCCGUCUGCUUUGCAUGCCCGGCCCAAGAUGGCGGCCGCCGGCCAAUGGGAUUUCGCGAGGAACUUCCUCGCGAGGACCAUUUGCAUGCCCGGCCCCCGCGGCGGCCAUCUUGCCCCAUCGACGGCCAAUGGGAUUUCUCUCGCCCACUUCCUCUCGCGUCUACUUUGCAUGUCCGGCCCCGAGGGCGCCAUCUUGGCCCCUCGACGGCCAAUGGGAUUUCUCUCCCUACUUCCUCUCGCGUCUACUUUGCAUGUCCGGCCCCCGCGGCGGCCAUCUCGGCUCGCCCGGGCCAAUGGGCGCGCGGAGGCGUCUCCCGCGCGCCUCUGAUUUGCAUGCCCGGCCCGCUCUGCGGCCAUCUUGGCCGCGGCGCGCCAAUGAGAUUGUCCGAAAAUCCCUCGCGCGGGCGCGAGGCGCAUGCUCGGCACGCGACCCACCCCCGUGGUGCUAGCGAGCCAAUCAGAUGAUUUUCGGGGAAGCUUCCGUGUGCACGUCAUUUGCAUGCUCGCCCCACGUGGCCGCCCUCGGCCAAUGGGGCCUCACGGUGCAAGCUUCCGUGUGUCUGCACGUGGUCCGCAUGUGUUGUGGUGGUCUCUGUGUUGUGUGGUGGUCUCUGUGUUGUGUGGUGGUCUCUGUGUUGUGUGGUGGUCUCUGUGUUGUGUGGUGGUCUCUGUGUUGUGUGGUGGUCUCUGUGUUGUGUGGUGGUCUCUGUGUUGUGUGGUGGUCUCUGUGUUGUGUGGUGGUCUCUGUGUUGUGUGGUGGUCUCUGUGUUGUGUGGUGGUAUCACCGCCUCCCCCUGCCACUCGCGAGACCCCGAGACCCCCGUUUCCCCCUCCUCGAGACCCCUGAGACCCCCGAGACCCUCCCGCGACCCCCGCGGUCGCCCCACCCGCGCCUCGCGCUCGGCGCGCGCUCCGAGGGCGCCCCAGCCGGUCGGAGAGACGAGCGGAACCGCCGUCGGACCGGGGACCGGCGACCGGACCCGAACCGGGAAGCGACGCCGGGGCGGGAGAACCGGACCCGAACCUCGAGCCCGGACCCGCCCGGACCCGGAAGGAAGGAGCCGGACAGCCACGCCUUGGAUACUUUUGUCGCCCACCCACCCCCUCCUCUCCCCCACCCCUCUAUCUCUCUCUCCCGGUCCCCCCUCCCACCCCACGAGACACGCCCCAGAGUGAAAAAAAAAAUAAAAGUUGUUCUCGUUGCACCGUCUUCCGGCUCGUGUCGUCCUUCCGCGGUACC
rnacentral:misc_RNA from 1 species